rnacentral:rRNA from 1 species
GAUGAACGCUGGCGGCGUGCCUAAUACAUGCAAGUCGAGCGAACGGACGAGAAGCUUGCUUCUCUGAUGUUAGCGGCGGACGGGUGAGUAACACGUGGAUAACCUACCUAUAAGACUGGGAUAACUUCGGGAAACCGUAGCUAAUACCGGAUAAUAUUUUGAACCGCAUGGUUCAAAAGUGAAAGACGGUCUUGCUGUCACUUAUAGAUGGAUCCGCGCUGCAUUAGCUAGUUGGUAAGGUAACGGCUUACCAAGGCAACGAUGCAUAGCCGACCUGAGAGGAUGAUCGGCCACACUGGAACUGAGACACGGUCCAGACUCCUACGGGAGGCAGCAGUAGGGAAUCUUCCGCAAUGGGCGAAAGCCUGACGGAGCCACGCCGCGUGAGUGAUGAAGGUCUUCGGAUCGUAAAGCUCUGUUAUUAGGGAAGAAAAUAUGUGUAAGUAUCUGUGCACAUCUUGACGGUACCUAAUCAGAAAGCCCCGGCUAACUACGUG